rnacentral:rRNA from 1 species
GAUGAACGCUGGCGGCGUGCCUAAUACAUGCAAGUCGAGCGAACAGACGAGGAGCUUGCUCCUCUGACGUUAGCGGCGGACGGGUGAGUAACACGUGGAUAACCUACCUAUAAGACUGGGAUAACUUCGGGAAACCGGAGCUAAUACCGGAUAAUAUAUUGAACCGCAUGGUUCAAUAGUGAAAGACGGUUUUGCUGUCACUUAUAGCUGGAUCCGCGCCGCAUUAGCUAGUUGGUAAGGUAACGGCUUACCAAGGCAACGAUGCGUAGCCGACCUGAGAGGGGGAUCGGCCACACUGGAACUGAGACACGGUCCAGACUCCUACGGGAGGCAGCAGUAGGGAAUCUUCCGCAAUGGGCGAAAGCCUGACUGAGCAACGCCGCGUGAGUGAUGAAGGUCUUCGGAUCGUAAAACUCUGUUAUUAGGGAAGAACAAAUGUGUAAGUAACUAUGCACGUCUUGACGGUAUCUAAUCAGAAAGCCACGGCUAACUACGUG